rnacentral:rRNA from 1 species
AAUUGGAGGGCAAGUCUGGUGCCAGCAGCCGCGGUAAUUCCAGCUCCAAUAGCGUAUAUUAAAGUUGUUGCAGUUAAAAAGCUCGUAGUUGAAUUUCGGGGUCAGUAGAUUGGUCGUGCCACUGGUAUGUACUGGUCUUACUGGCUCCUCCUUCCUGAUGAACCGUAAUGCCAUUAAUUUGGUGUUGCGGGGAGACUGGACUGUUACUUUGAAAAAAUUAGAGUGUUUAAAGCAGGCAUUCGCUUGAAUACAUUAGCAUGGAAUAAUGAAAUAGGACGUUUGAUCUUAUUUUGUUGGUUUCUAAGAUCGACGUAAUGAUUAAUAGGGAUAGUUGGGGGCAUUAGUAUUCAAUUGUCAGAGGUGAAAUUCUUGGAUUUAUUGAAGACUAACUACUGCGAAAGCAUUUGCCAAGGAUGUUUUCAUUAAUCAAGAACGAAAGUUAGGGGAUCGAAGACGAUCAGAUACCGUCGUAGUCUUAACCAUAAACUAUGCCGACUAGGGAUCGGAUGAUGUUAAUUUUUUAAUGACUCAUUCGGCGCCUUACGGGAAACCAAAGUGU